AACGAAUGCUGGCGGCAGGCCUAACACAUGCAAGUCGAGCGCCCAGCAAUGGGAGCGGCGCACGGGUGAGUAACGCGUGGGAAUAUGCCCUUUGGUACGGAACAACGUCGGGAAACUGACGCUAAUACCGUAUAUGACGAGAGUUGAAAGAUUUAUCGCCAAAGGAUUAGCCCGCGUUAGAUUAUGGUAGUUGGUGGGGUAAUGGCCUACCAAGCCGACGAUCUAUAGCUGGUCUGAGAGGAUGAUCAGCCACACUGGGACUGAGACACGGCCCAGACUCCUACGGGAGGCAGCAGUGGGGAAUAUUGCACAAUGGACGAAAGUCUGAUGCAGCCAUGCCGCGUGUGUGAUGAAGGCCUUCGGGUUGUAAAGCACUUUUGGCGGGGACGAUAAUGACGGUACCCGCAGAAUAAGCCCCGGCUAACUUCGUGCCAGCCGCCGCCGUAA
rnacentral:rRNA from 1 species